rnacentral:rRNA from 1 species
AGGGGGGUGCCUUAAUACAUUGCAAGUCGAACGAACUCUGGUAUUGAUUGGUGCUUGCAUCAUGAUUUACAUUUGAGUGAGUGGCGAACUGGUGAGUAACACGUGGGAAACCUGCCCAGAAGCGGGGGAUAACACCUGGAAACAGAUGCUAAUACCGCAUAACAACUUGGACCGCAUGGUCCGAGCUUGAAAGAUGGCUUCGGCUAUCACUUUUGGAUGGUCCCGCGGCGUAUUAGCUAGAUGGUGGGGUAACGGCUCACCAUGGCAAUGAUACGUAGCCGACCUGAGAGGGUAAUCGGCCACAUUGGGACUGAGACACGGCCCAAACUCCUACGGGAGGCAGCAGUAGGGAAUCUUCCACAAUGGACGAAAGUCUGAUGGAGCAACGCCGCGUGAGUGAAGAAGGGUUUCGGCUCGUAAAACUCUGUUGUUAAAGAAGAACAUAUCUGAGAGUAACUGUUCAGGUAUUGACGGUAUUUAACCAGAAAGCCACGGCUAACUACGUGCCAGCAGCCGCGGUAAUACGUAGGUGGCAAGCGUUGUCCGGAUUUAUUGGGCGUAAAGCGAGCGCAGGCGGUUUUUUAAGUCUGAUGUGAAAGCCUUCGGCUCAACCGAAGAAGUGCAUCGGAAACUGGGAAACUUGAGUGCAGAAGAGGACAGUGGAACUCCAUGUGUAGCGGUGAAAUGCGUAGAUAUAUGGAAGAACACCAGUGGCGAAGGCGGCUGUCUGGUCUGUAACUGACGCUGAGGCUCGAAAGUAUGGGUAGCAAACAGGAUUAGAUACCCUGGUAGUCCAUACCGUAAACGAUGAAUGCUAAGUGUUGGAGGGUUUCCGCCCUUCAGUGCUGCAGCUAACGCAUUAAGCAUUCCGCCUGGGGAGUACGGCCGCAAGGCUGAAACUCAAAGGAAUUGACGGGGGCCCGCACAAGCGGUGGAGCAUGUGGUUUAAUUCGAAGCUACGCGAAGAACCUUACCAGGUCUUGACAUACUAUGCAAAUCUAAGAGAUUAGACGUUCCCUUCGGGGACAUGGAUACAGGUGGUGCAUGGUUGUCGUCAGCUCGUGUCGUGAGAUGUUGGGUUAAGUCCCGCAACGAGCGCAACCCUUAUUAUCAGUUGCCAGCAUUAAGUUGGGCACUCUGGUGAGACUGCCGGUGACAAACCGGAGGAAGGUGGGGAUGACGUCAAAUCAUCAUGCCCCUUAUGACCUGGGCUACACACGUGCUACAAUGGAUGGUACAACGAGUUGCGAACUCGCGAGAGUAAGCUAAUCUCUUAAAGCCAUUCUCAGUUCGGAUUGUAGGCUGCAACUCGCCUACAUGAAGUCGGAAUCGCUAGUAAUCGCGGAUCAGCAUGCCGCGGUGAAUACGUUCCCGGGCCUUGUACACACCGCCCGUCACACCAUGAGAGUUUGUAACACCCAAAGUCGGUGGGGUAACCUUUUAGGAACCAGCCGCCUAAAGGG